rnacentral:rRNA from 1 species
AUUGAACGCUGGCGGCAGGCUUAACACAUGCAAGUCGAGCGAGCGGCGGACGGGUGAGUAAUGUCUGGGAAACUGCCUGAUGGAGGGGGAUAACGACUGGAAACGGUAGUUAAUACCGCCUACCAUACGAUGUGCCCAGAUGGGAUUAGCUGGUAGGGGGGGUAAGGGCUCACCAAGGAGACGAUCCCUAGCUGGUCUGAGAGGAUGACCGGCCACACGGGAACUGUGACACGGUCCAGAGUCCUACGGGAGGCAGCAUUGGGGAAUAUUGCACAUUGGGCGCAAGCCUGAUGCAGCCAGUCCGCGUGUAUGAAGAAGGCCUUCGGGUUGUAAAGUACUUUCAGCGGGGAGGCGUUACCCGCAGAAGAAGCACCGGCUAACUCCGUGCCAGCAGCCGCGGUAAUUC